AAUAGAUACCCCGGUAGUCCACGCCGUAAACGAUGAGUGCUAAGUGUUAGGGGGUUUCCGCCCCUUAGUGCUGCAGCUAACGCAUUAAGCACUCCGCCUGGGGAGUACGGUCGCAAGACUGAAACUCAAAGGAAUUGACGGGGGCCCGCACAAGCGGUGGAGCAUGUGGUUUAAUUCGAAGCAACGCGAAGAACCUUACCAGGUCUUGACAUCCCAUUGACCGCUAUGGAGACAUGGCUUUCCCUUCGGGGACAGUGGUGACAGGUGGUGCAUGGUUGUCGUCAGCUCGUGUCGUGAGAUGUUGGGUUAAGUCCCGCAACGAGCGCAACCCUUGUUCUUAGUUGCCAUCAUUUAGUUGGGCACUCUAAGGAGACUGCCGGUGACAAACCGGAGGAAGGUGGGGAUGACGUCAAAUCAUCAUGCCCCUUAUGACCUGGGCUACACACGUGCUACAAUGGACGGUACAAACGGUUGCCAACCCGCGAGGGGGAGCUAAUCCGAUAAAACCGUUCUCAGUUCGGAUUGUAGGCUGCAACUCGCCUAC
rnacentral:rRNA from 1 species